rnacentral:lncRNA from 1 species
CUUCAUGAAUAUUGUUGGUUACUCAGAAGUCUCUUCUUUUACACUUCCAGGUUGAUGGCUGCCUUCCAGAUGUUAACACUGUCAGAAGCUUGAUUUCUGUGUGAUCGAAUCACUGUGGAUUGAGACCCAUCUUCUGAGGCCCCGAACGAAGAGGAGGAAGGUUAGUCCUGACAUGGGGUGUGAUGCUCUGAAUCCCAGCCCCUAACCUAGGAUAUGAGCGUCCCUGGCUGAUGGCACCUUCCGACGUCUUGGCACAGCUACUUCUGUUUGGAAUGGGGUAUUGGGUACAUUCUCCCAGACUCAGAUGAGGCCGUGAUGGCCACCCCACCGGGCAGGUGCUGACGUCAUCUCCGGCUUCAGCAUCUAAAUGCCACACUGCACUUGGCACUUGGCCUCGGGACCACUAUUGCCUUUUAAGGUAGGUGUGCACAUGCGGGUUUGAGCCUUUGCGAUUGCAGGAAUUAGAGGAAA